UGGGAUACUGUGAAGCCGCGACGCUAGUUGUGGUGGAGUCGAUCCGUGAAAUACCACUCUGGUCAUAGUGAAUAUCUAACUUCGGGCCAUAAUCUGGUCCAGGGACAGUGCCUGAUGGGUAGUUUAACUGGGGCGGUUGCCUCCCAAAAUGUAACGGAGGCGCCCAAAGGUUCCCUCAGCCUGGUUGGCAAUCAGGUGGUGAGUGUAAGUGCACAAGGGAGCUUGACUGUGAGACAGACAUGUCGAGCAGAGACGAAAGUCGGGACUAGUGACCCGACGGUGGCUUGUGGAAGCGCCGUCGCUCAACGGAUAAAAGGUACCCCGGGGAUAACAGGCUGAUCUUCCCCAAGAGUCCAUAUCGACGGGAUGGUUUGGCACCUCGAUGUCGGCUCGUCGCAUCCUGGG
rnacentral:rRNA from 1 species